rnacentral:lncRNA from 1 species
GAUGCUAUGAGUGUAUUUGCUCUAUUAUCUCAAAACUUUCCUAUCUUUCAGGUAGAUGCCUUCCCAGUCUCUGAGAUUCCCUCUGAGCCAUCUUCCUCCCGUUUUUGUCUAAGUGAAUAAAACUGGUAGUUGGGGAUAUGUCAGAAGGUCCUGGACAUUGGAGUAACAAGGGAAAAGAGAACCACAGAAAAUAACAGCCUCAUGUAAUAGCAUCCAUUUUAUUUCUGAUGCAGAAUGAUAAAAGACUGUUGAAUUGGAUGGUCAAGAGAGCAUCUUUGAAAAAUAUGGAGGAACGUGGUAACUGAAGGUGAGCCUUGAAUAAAAGGUAAUAUGCUGUCAAACUCUGCAAAGACCCCCUUGAUAGUAGUGGCUGCUGUCCAUGCUCAACACUGGUACAUAGGAUGCAGGAGAACAGCUACUCAUAUAGAAUUCAAGGAAUUGCAAGACUAUUUCUUAACAUUAUAUGGAGCAAAUAUUACCUAAGUAAGUGGUGUUAUUGUGCGGUGUGUAUGUGUAUGUGUGUGCAUGUG